GGGGCGGAGCUUCGGGGUGGCCGCGCGGCCUGCUCCUCCCGCUCGGCCUCCGGGGCCGCAUGGCUUCGGCCUCCGUUCCGCUCGCGGGCCGCGGGGUCAGGGACCUGCUGCGCUUCCUGCGGUUGGUGGGCCAGCUCAAGAGAGUCCCACGGACUGGCUGGGUAUACAGAAAUGUCGAGAGGCCAGAGAGUGUGUCAGAUCACAUGUACAGGAUGGCAGUUAUGGCUCUGGUGACCAAAGAUGAGCAUCUCAACAAAGACCGAUGUGUGCGCCUAGCCCUGGUUCACGAUAUGGCAGAAUGCAUCGUGGGGGACAUAGCACCAGCAGAUAACAUCCCCAAAGAAGAAAAACAUAGGCGAGAAGAGGAAGCUAUGAAGCAGGUCACCCGGCUCCUCCCAGAGGACCUCAGAAAGGAGCUCUAUGAACUUUGGGAAGAGUACGAGACCCAGUCUAGUGCAGAAGCCAGAUUUGUGAAGCAGUUAGACCAGUGUGAGAUGAUUCUUCAGGCGUCUGAGUAUGAAGACCUUGAGAACAAACCUGGGAGACUGCAGGACUUCUAUGAUUCCACGGCAGCCCCACUACCUCGGCCCUAGACAAGACCUCAUUAUUUCUCCAUCAGACUGUUGUUACAACCUCCUAACUUAACCUGCCAGGCUGGCUAGUUCAUCCCGCACGUCUCAUUUUUUUCCUUCUUUGUAGAUCUAGGAAAAUUCAGUCACCCUGAGAUAGUCCAGCUUGUUUCUGAACUCGAGGCGGAAAGAAACGCUAACAUUGCUGCCACCACCAGUGAGCCGCACUCCUGAGAUAGUCUCUAAGUUGCUUCACUCCUGUAACAAACAUUUUACUUUUCUGUUUCAUGUCACUGUGUUUUGCCACCAUCAGGCUGUUGAUUUCCCCAGAUGUGAGUCUGUUUAUUGUCAGUUGUCUGGACUCCAGCAAAAAACCUGAUACCAUUUGGGUGGCGAAAGAAGCUACAGAACAGGAUGUGGUCACGACAAUGCUAUAGGUGAAGACUUGGGGUAACGGGCAUGCCUUUUUGUGAACUAAAUAAAUAAAUUUUAAAAACCUUA